ACACGUAGGGGGCGAGCGUUGUUCGGAAUCAUUGGGCGUAAAGGGCGCGCAGGCGGCGAGGCAAGUCCGGUGUGAAAGUGCUCGGCUCAACCGAGUGAUGCGCUGGAAACUGCCCUGCUUGAGUACAGGAGGGGACGUCGGAAUUCCAGGUGUAGGGGUGAAAUCUGUAGAUAUCUGGAAGAACACCGGUGGCGAAGGCGGACGUCUGGCCAUGUACUGACGCUGAGGCGCGAAGGUGCGGGGAGCGAACAGGUUUAGAUACCCUGGUAGUCCGCACAGUAAACGAUGUGCACCAGGUGGCGGGGGGUAGCCCUCGGUACCGAAGCCAACGCGUUAAGUGCACCGCCUGGGGAGUAUGCUCGCAAGGGUGAAACUCAAAUGAAUUGACGGGG
rnacentral:rRNA from 1 species